GGGCCGCGCUCCCCCCGGCCCUGGGCAGCAGCCAAAAGUCCAGAGCCGAAAAGUAGUGGUGAUUGAUGGCAGCGUUUGCCGGAGCCGCCCAUUGGGAACGUUAAGCACUGGGCAACCCCAAGAAGGCUCAGCAGCGCAUGGGGUGGGCUCAGGGAGAAAAGGCAGAGCAACACCAACAGCUCCAGCAGCAGCGUGGGGGAAAUUAAACAGAGAUAUAACUUAAAAAGCUCUGGAGGGGCGACUGCUUCAUUCAGUGCACUCUGCAUCACACAGAACCCCCUCCUCAGGCAUCAACCGGCUCUGAAACCAAAGGAAAACCAAUGAGAA
rnacentral:lncRNA from 1 species